rnacentral:rRNA from 1 species
UACGUAGGGGGCUAGCGUUGUCCGGAUUUAUUGGGCGUAAAGAGCGUGUAGGCGGCCAGGUAGGUCUGCUGUGAAAACUCGAGGCUCAACCUCGAGACGUCGGCGGAAACCAUCUGGCUAGAGUCCGGAAGAGGAGAGUGGAAUUCCUGGUGUAGCGGUGAAAUGCGCAGAUAUGUGGAGGAAUACCGAUGGCGAAGGCAGCCCCCUGGGAUAACACUGACGCUCAUGCACGAAAGCGUGGGGAGCAAACAGG